rnacentral:rRNA from 1 species
GGAUUAGAUACCCUGGUAGUCCACGCCGUAAACGAUGUCAACUGGGAGUCUGUGUCUUUAAGACGUGGGUUCCGAAGCUAACGCGAUAAGUUGACCGCCUGGGGAGUACGGCCGCAAGGUUAAAACUCAAAUGAAUUGACGGGGGCCCGCACAAGCGGUGGAGCAUGUGGUUUAAUUCGAUGCAACGCGAAGAACCUUACCUACUCUUGACAUCCAGAGAAUUUUCCAGAGAUGGAUUAGUGCCUUCGGGAGCUCUGAGACAGGUGCUGCAUGGCUGUCGUCAGCUCGUGCCG